UGGUGGCUCGAGAUAUGUUAGCCAUAUCAAUUUCAACUAUUGCUUCUAAGUCAGCAUUUAGCACAAGAGUACAUGUUCUUGAUAUAUAUAGUUCUUUAUCUCCUAUGAUGGAGGCUCUUAUAUGUGCUCAAAAUUGACUGCGAUCUUCUCCAAUUACACUAACGGAAUCGGCACAUCUCAUUAAGAAAUUUGAAGAAUUAGAAG
rnacentral:lncRNA from 1 species